AUUUGGGUAGCUUAAAUUUUAAAGCUUAAUAUUGAAGCUAUUAUGAUAGGGAUCUUCUUUCCAAAUA
rnacentral:tRNA from 1 species